GGUGCUGCCAAUUUGAAGGUGCAUAUAUUAUUUUGUUUAUUUUUAUCGAAUUAUGCUUAGUGGCUGUAUCAGUUUAUACAAGACCAUAGAACGAAUGCAUAAUUUACUAGAUAAUACAAUAACAUAGCAGAUGAGAUUUAUCUUACGAAGUCUUGAUAAGGAUGUAUGGAGUUAUCACAGCUCUUGUGACCAUCUCAUACUUUCUUUAUCAUUUACAGGUUUGUAUUGUAAGGAAGGCGAAGCCACAAUUCACAAUGUCGUCCGCUGAGGAGAUAGAUGACCACUUGACUAAUAUAACGAAGUAAAACGAGGAGCUGGUAUCAUGGGCCAUCAUAAGUGAUGGAACCGAGCAUGAAAAUAGGAUUUUGCAUGUGUAGGUUGGAUUUAAAUAUUGCAUGGCAUUUGAUGAUGCAAACAGCCAUUGUCGUGCAUUAAAGAAAACAAAACACUUUAAUCUUUUGCUUAAUGUUCAUGGCAAUGCCAAGCAAAAGGAAAGAGCUUUCUGGUAGUAGUGGCUGAUGAAUUUUGUGCCUAUU
rnacentral:lncRNA from 1 species